rnacentral:piRNA from 1 species
AAGAACAGGAUGAGGUAGAUAAA